rnacentral:rRNA from 1 species
GACAGAGGGUGCAAACGUUUGUUCGGAAUUACUGGGCGUAAAGCGAGUGUAGGCGGUUUCCUAAGUCAGGUGUGAAAGCCCCGGGCUCAACCCGGGAAGUGCACUUGAAACUGGGAGGCUAGAGUAUCGGAGAGGUUGGUGGAAUUCUCGGUGUAGAGGUGAAAUUCGUAGAUAUCGAGAGGAACACCGGUGGCGAAGGCGGCCAACUGGACGAAUACUGACGCUGAGACUCGAAAGCGUGGGAGCAAACAGG